AGUGAACGCUGGCGGUAGGCCUAACACAUGCAAGUCGAACGGCAGCACAGUAAGAGCUUGCUCUUACGGGUGGCGAGUGGCGGACGGGUGAGGAAUACAUCGGAAUCUACUUUUUCGUGGGGGAUAACGUAGGGAAACUUACGCUCAUACCGCAUACGACCUACGGGUGAGAGCAGGGGAUCUUCGGACCUUGCGCGAUUGAAUGAGCCGAUGUCGGGUUAGCUAGUGGGGGGGGUAAAUGCCCACCAAGGCGGCGAUCCGUAGCUGGUCUGAGAGGAUGAUCAGCCACACUGGAACUGAGACACGGUCCAGACUCCUACGGGAGGCAGCAGUGGGGAAUAUUGGACAGUAGGGGCGAGCAUUAUCCAGCCAUACCGAGUGGGUGGAAGAGACCUUCGGGUUGUAAAGCCCUUUUGUUGGGAAAGAACAGCAGCAGGUUAAUACGCCGCUGUUCUGACGGUACCCAAAGAAUAAGCACCGGCUAACUUCGUG
rnacentral:rRNA from 1 species